rnacentral:rRNA from 1 species
UACGUAGGGGGCAAGCGUUGUCCGGAUUUAUUGGGCGUAAAGAGCGUGUAGGCGGCCAAGCAGGUCAGCUGUGAAAACUCGAGGCUCAACCUCGAGACGUCGGUUGAAACCGCUUGGCUAGAGUCCGGAAGAGGAGAGUGGAAUUCCCGGCGUAGCGGUGAAAUGCGCAGAUAUCGGGAAGAACACCCGUGGCGAAGGCGGCUCUCUGGGACGGUACUGACGCUGAGACGCGAAAGCGUGGGGAGCGAACAGG